CUCCCCUGUAGCCCAGGGCCGCGGCCAGCUGGGUCCAGCGAAGGCACUUCCUCAUACCUCCAGGCCUAACAGGUCACUGGCUCUGGGAUCCCGAGCCCUGCCAGAUUCUCGGUCUCCCUGGCUGGAGACAGGCUGCCCACACCAGCACAGGGGGCCAGCCCUUUGCUUCUAGGGCCUCCACAUUCUUUCCAGAGGCUGCAGGUAGCCAGGGGUGGCCUUUGGGAGUUCAGGAGGCUGAUCACCACCACCCGGCCCCUUGCUCUGUCUCCAGCUGAGCAGUUAUACUUCAGUGACUCCCAGGAAUGCCUUUCCCUUGGGUUCUGUCUCACUGUUGGAAUCUACCUGGAGUUUCUUCAUGGUCACUACUGGAAUCAUAUCUUCUAUUGACAGAGGACCUUUAGAGACACAGUGGGAAGUCUUUAGCUGUCCACACUGUCCACACCUCGCCCUGCUCCUCCCCUGGCUUCUCAGAACUCACCUGGGCUCUGUGUGGUCAGAGAUUCAGCAGUCAAGGCUCACAUCUGCAAAACCUCACAACUCAAGGUGACACUCCCACAUGCCUAGGAUCAUUGCAGCCCUCAGAGCCAGUCCUGUGAGCUGCAGCUGCAGCUGCAAUGGACACACUGUGUUAAGGACUCCAAGGAAGGGACCCAGGCCAGGCCCAGACCUCUGCCACCCCAGUUCUUGACAUUUGCCACAGAACUGCAGCCUAGAAGCCAGGACCAUGGCGUGAGGAACAGGCUGCAGUCUGCGUCCCAGCUGGGGAGCCCCUGGGUGGGCAGAGCUGGCACCUCCUGUCAAUGGCAGCUCCACAGCCCAGAGCACAAGGGCAGUCCAGGCCCAGCCACCCAUCAGAACAGGACCGCCCCUCCUACAACACAGCACACCUGGGCACUUCACCAGCUUCUUCAUCCAUCAGCGCCUAUCUUUCCUUAACCACUCAACAUAACGAUGAAAGGGAAAAUUCUGUUUAUCGUCAGCUCCUUACAAAUCAUCAGCAAACAAACCAUGUUAGAAACAAAGGGCAAAAGUCAAACUCAAUAAUUAUUGAGUACUCUGCUUAAUAAGUGUCUCGGGGAAUGGGACCAGAGUUCCAGCAAACCAGCCCUGGAGGGCAUCCCCUGCCAGGGCCCGGUGCUCCCUGUGGUCCUCCCUGAGGGCUUCUCCCUUGUGCCCCUCAGCUCUUUCUCAGAGUCAUGUCCCUUCUGGGACCAGUGUGGGACCCGAUGCUGCAAAGCACCAAGUGAGCCUUCUUGACAGCCCAGGAUUCCUCAGCAUCACCUGAAACACAAAUGCAACAAAUUGAGCAAGACCUGGAGACAGAGCCCUUAUUUCAGCUGAACCUGGUGGCUCCUUAGCAGAGCGAACUACUAGAGAGACAGGCCCCAGCCACUUCCAGGACUUGGAAGAGCCCCUGAGGACAGACACAGACCAUCGUAGGAAGAGAGAACUUCUGUACCCAUAAAAUUCACCUAAGGAAGAAAGUACAAUGACCCAGUGAAAAAACACUGGAAUGUCUUGUCACAAGGAUUGUGAUGACUCCACAUAUAACAGUCUCUGAAAAUAGGAACCAAGGGGCGACCACCACUGGGGUGGCUCCCAGUUGAGGUCCCCUCUCUAAGCCCACCUUGGACUCCCACAGGUGACAGAGCACUGAACACACAGUUCAAGGAGAGCACAAUGAAAGGCUCUGACCUCACCUGGAAAGAAGCAGCAUUGCUCUGCUCCUCAUGCCCACCCUGCACAGAAACAAUGGAGUCCAUCAACAUGGACUGAGAUCUCUAGAACCAUGAGCAGAAGGAACCUUUCCUCCUUUUUAAGUUGGUUAGGUCAGGGUUUUUCCACUGCAGUGUUCAUUCUGCAAAGAGGAGGACACUGGAGACUAGGGAGGGGGCUGCCUUGGGCAGGCAGUGGGGUCAGAGCAGGUGGGACCAGAGCCAGGCACAAGGAGGGUACGCAGGAGCAGCACACAAGGACACCAAGCUCCCAAGGGCAGCCUGACCCUCUCAUAUUUUUGGUCAGGGUCUGGUAGGACUGCUGGGCUCGGGGCUUUACUUCUGUGGUUUGUCUGUGGUCUCACAGUUUGCUCCCUAACUCACAACACAUCUGUGUGACUAUUCAAUGACAGGAGCCUGUGUCCUCCUGAAUGUGCUGAGCUCCAGCUAAGUGGCCACAGUCUUUUCGAUUUCUCACGACCAUUUCAGCCUCGGAGGACCCACACUGCCUGCUGGGCACCUCUCCUAUGCUCUUUGGGGCACAGUGUGAAUGUGUUGAGGCUGCUCCCGGAAAGUGGGGUGACCUUGUCACAGGGACAGGACUUUCCUGAAGCUGGCUACCCUCAGCACCCUCUGGUUCUUUGGUUGGAUUGAUGUUGAAAUGCACCUUCCUUGUUUGA